rnacentral:misc_RNA from 1 species
CAAAACCCAUUGUGAACCUUACCUCUUGCCGCGCGUUGCCUCGGCGGGGAGGCGGGGUCUGGGUCGGCGCGCCCCUCACCGGGCCGCCGUCCCCGUCCCCGUCCCCGCCGGCCGCGCCAAACUCUAAAUUUGAAAAAGCGUACUGCACGUUGUGAUUCAAAACAAAAAACAAGUCAAAACUUUUAACAACGGAUCUCUUGGUUCUGGCAUCGAUGAAGAACGCAGCGAAAUGCGAUAAGUAAUGUGAAUUGCAGAAUUCAGUGAAUCAUCGAAUCUUUGAACGCACAUUGCGCCCGGCAGCAAUCUGCCGGGCAUGCCUGUCCGAGCGUCAUUUCUUCCCUCGAGCGCGGCUAGCCCUACGGGGCCGCCGUCGCCCGGUGUUGGGGCUCUACGGGUGGGGCUCGUCCCCCCCGCAGUCCCCGAAAUGUAGUGGCGGUCCAGCCGCGGCGCCCCCUGCGUAGUAGAUCCUACAUCUUCAUCGGGUCCCGGCGUAAGGCCAGCGCGUCAGAAUACU